UGAGUGCAGUUCAGUGGUAGAGCACAUGCUUAGCAUGCACUGGGUCCUGGGUUCAAUCCCCAGAACCAA
rnacentral:tRNA from 1 species